AACGAACGCUGGCGGCAGGCCUAACACGUGCAAGUCGAGCGAGACCUUCGGGUCUAGCGGCGGACGGGUUAGUAACGCGUGGGAACGUGCCCUUCUCUGCGGAAUAGCCACUGGAAACGGUGAGUAAUACCGCAUACGCCCUUCGGGGGAAAGAUUUAUCGGAGAAGGAUCGGCCCGCGUUAGAUUAGAUAAUUGGUGGGUAACGGCCUACCAAGUCUACGAUCUAUAGCUGGUUUUAGAGGAUGAUCAGCAACACUGGGACUGAGACACGGCCCAGACUCCUACGGGAGGCAGCAGUGGGGAAUCUUAGACAAUGGGCGCAAGCCUGAUCUAGCCAUGCCGCGUGUGUGAUGAAGGUCUUAGGAUCGUAAAGCACUUUCGCCAGGGAUGAUAAUGACAGUACCUGGUAAAGAAACCCCGGCUAACUCCGUG
rnacentral:rRNA from 1 species